CAGCCGCCGCGGGAAUACGUAUGGGGCAAGCGUUGUCCGGAAUUAUUGGGCGUAAAGCGCGCGCAGGCGGUCAUGUAAGUCUGGUGUUUAAUCCCGGGGCUCAACCCCGGAUCGCACUGGAAACUGCGUGACUUGAGUGCAGAAGAGGAGAGUGGAAUUCCACGUGUAGCGGUGAAAUGCGUAGAGAUGUGGAGGAACACCAGUGGCGAAGGCGACUCUCUGGGCUGUAACUGACGCUGAGGCGCGAAAGCGUGGGGAGCAAACAGGAUUAGAUACCCCCGUAGUCCCUGUCUCUUAUACA
rnacentral:rRNA from 1 species